CCUACGGGUGGCAGCAGUGGGGAAUAUUGGGCAAUGGGCGCAAGCCUGACCCAGCAACGCCGCGUGAAGGAAGAAGGCUUUCGGGUUGUAAACUUCUUUUGUCAGGGACGAAGCAAGUGACGGUACCUGACGAAUAAGCCACGGCUAACUACGUGUCAGCAGCCGCGGUAAUACGUAGGUGGCAAGCGUUAUCCGGCUUUACUGGGUGUAAAGGGCGUGUAGGCGGGACUGCAAGUCAGAUGUGAAAACCACGGGCUCAACCUGUGGCCUGCAUUUGAAACUGUAGUUCUUGAGUACUGGAGAGGCAGACGGAAUUCCUAGUGUAGCGGUGAAAUGCGUAGAUAUUAAGAGGAACACCAGUGGCGAAGGCGAUCUGCUAGACAGCAACUGACGCUGAGGCGCGAAAGCGUGGGGAGCAACCAGGAUUAGAUACCCCAGUAGUC
rnacentral:rRNA from 1 species